rnacentral:rRNA from 1 species
GACGAACGCUGGCGGCGUGCUUAACACAUGCAAGUCGAACGGUGAAGCGCCUUCCUUUGUGGUGGGUGUGGAUGAGUGGCGAACGGGUGAGUAACACGUGAGUAACCUGCCCCCUUCUUCUGGAUAACCGCAUGAAAGUGUGGCUAAUACGGGAUAUUCUGUGCCUGCUGCAUGGUGGGUGUGGGAAAGAUUGCGCCUUUGGGUGUUUUUGGUGGGGGAUGGGCUCGCGGCCUAUCAGCUUGUUGGUGGGGUGAUGGCCUACCAAGGCGGUGACGGGUAGCCGGCCUGAGAGGGUGGACGGUCACACUGGGACUGAGACACGGCCCAGACUCCUACGGGAGGCAGCAGUGGGGAAUAUUGCACAAUGGGCGCAAGCCUGAUGCAGCGACGCCGCGUGAGGGAUGGAGGCCUUCGGGUUGUGAACCUCUUUCGCCAGUGAAGCAGGCCUGUCCCUGUGUGGGUGGGUUGACGGUAGCUGGAUAAGAAGCGCCGGCUAACUAC